GAGAAGAGAAACAAGAUGACACCAUAAGUCAGCAGGGUAAAGAAAUACCAAGAUAAGCACAGGGGCAACCAAAGAGCUACUUGAACUGUGAGUGAACUCUCCUAAUUAACAUACUAGAAAACCCGCCCUCGGGUAGGGAGAGCCCCCUACCAACAGAAGCCCCUUCCUCACAGAACAUGCGCAGUAAAAAAGGAGGACGCUGCGACUUUAAGUGGAGAUGAGACUUGCGAGAGCCAAUAGGAACGAGAGUAACUCAGCGAAACUGUAAAAAUACUGAUAACUGUUGCUCGAAAGGUAUAAAAUGCUUUACCGGGUGUUAACCGGGUGUGCUAGCUUUGUGGAGUUACCACCUAGCACCCAUCUCUGCGCAGACGUGAAAUAAACAAAUAUCUCGACUCUGUGUGUUAAUUGGCUUUUUUGCACACCGGGUGAAAGAAUCCUGAUUUUUGGGACAACAUUUUGGCACCCCAGAUGGGACGGCCAUAAGGCCUUGCCCGGAUCGUCUUGCCGUCCCCGACAGCAGACCGGACCGAGCUCCAGCGCGCACCGACCUAUUGAUCGGGGACUCCUCCGGAUUCCCUCCGAAGCCGGGGUGACAAGCGACUCAAAGGUGCAACGCCGACCAGAGAUAUUUGUAUCAGGGUGAAAGGGGAAUGAAUCCUUGGAUUGUAUGUGGACGAUAUCUUAAUUGGAGCAGAUACAGAACAGACUUGUACAGAAGCCACAGUAAGCCUGCUAAACUUUCUGGGACUGGCCAGAUUCUGCUGGAUAUGGAUCCCCAAUUUCGGACUUACAACCAAGCCCUUAUACGCAGCCACAAAGGGCCUUGUGGGGAGUUGUUAGAAGGGACUCCAGAGUGUCGGAGUAGUUUUGAUGAAAUUAAAAAAAACGAUGGAAGCUCUCCUCAAGAAGCUACAUGAAGAAACUCACAUGGGAGCCGAUGCUAUGAUAAGCAGCGUUAAGAGAUACGCUGUAGGGCCAAAAAUGCAGACAAAUGCAGAUAUAAUAGUAAAGAGAUGAAACUUGUGUAAAUGAUCCCAAAAUACAAAGAAAGCCGCCAGCAGGUGACGUAAAAAGAGGAAUAACCCCUAGGGAAUACUGGCAAAUAGAUUUCUCUGAAUUACCAAAAUAUGGACAGCAUAAGUAUCUACUUGUUCUAGUGGAUACGUUUUCCGGAUGGCCUGAGACUUUCCCUUGUCGCAACAAUGGGGCUAGGGAAGUAAUUAGGAUAUUACUAAAGGAAAUAACCCCCAGAUAGCUAGAGUUGGACCAUAUGUCGUUAAAAGGGUUGGACAACAACGACUUUUGUUUAAUCCAUCAUGGUCCCUCAAACGGGUAGAACUAUCAAUGCAGAUUAAUAUCUCUGCAGUUAAACCAGCCUGUUCACCAUUCGUAAGUGCGUCCUACACAGGAUGGUUAGCAUGGUUACAUGGGCGGUCUCUUACCCUUCCAAAUCGAGUAAAAAGAGAUGUAACUGGUAUCCUAGGGACAGGAUUGGGAGUCUUAAACAGCAUAGAUAUGAAGUACUUGCAAACAAACUUAGUACAGCCACACAUGAUCUAAAAAAACUAGAACAUCCAUUGUGAUCCUCCCUUAGGAACUCAUCAGUGGCUGUUAUCUGAUAUAUUGCCUCAGCGGGAAAGGGUUAAUGAAAAGGACCACCAAUAAUCAUAGAUGCACUUGGUAUAGCCCAAAAUAAUAUUUCUCUAGCUCUUAGUUGUAUCCAGGCUCAACUGUGAGUGCAAUAUACAAUAGCAGCAAUUGUAAGAGAAGGUGAAGAUGGCACCUUACCUACUGAAAUUCGGAAAAUAAUCUGGGAAAAGGCAACUGCAUUUGAAAGAGAAUUCCAGUCGUGGUGGUAUCUGGGCAAUUUCACUCACAAUCCUAUCGAUAACAAAGCCACGGCCUUUGUCGUAACCAUACAGAAUGCAUCAGUAAAAACCAUCUACCCGAUCAUUGCGUUAGGAUUAAAUCACAACAGGACUGUACUUUAUCCACUAGAGCAUAGAGUAUGGGCCCAACGAAACAAUAACAGAUGGCAGACUGUUGAAGUUGAUGCAUGUGUGGUACGGGAAGAACAGGGAUUUAUUUGCGAAAGUAAUACCAUCAAAGCUCAAGACAUUUGUCUUGACACUGAGCAAAAUGUUUGUCACUUCGAGAUACAUCCGAAAGAAAUCCCUGGAACUGUGCUUAUAUAUAUUGGGAAAGGAUGUGUGUGUAUAAGAACUCUAUGUAAUUUUAUAGUUGUAGAUAACAUUACUGUCGGGAUAAAAAAAUCACUCAAAUACUUGCAUUUGUAACUUUACUAACAUUAUAGGAUGUGAUUUCAACUAUUCAGCUCCGGUUACGACUUAUCAGCUAAUACAAUCCAAUUAUGCUUUAGUUAAAGAUCUAUUGCUUACUCCCAUUGGGAUGGAUCUCACACUGGUGAAAAAAAAAUUUUACAACAUAAUGAUCUAUGCCAGUUGCUGGAACGUGCCCGAGAAGAGGGACAAAGGGCUUCAAUCACCGUUCACCAUGACACAGAAGAGAUACAUCGUGUUUUGGACCGGGUGAAGAAAGAUGGAGAACAUAGGUGGUGGGAAGCCCUCCUCGGAUGGGCACCCAAGACAACAGGCAUUCUUAAUCUCAUGCUACACCCUGUUGUGAUCUUGUUAUUGCUAACAUGUUUAUGUUUACUGCUUAUAAUCAUACUGUAUUUUAAGGUUUGGCACAUGAUGAAGCAAAUUGCUCUAAUGCAAUCACCCAGGGUAUGCACGCUCACGACAGAGGGAGAUAAAUCCCUCAAACUUGAAAACUUCCCUAUAAAGGACAGGAAAAAAUUCCCACAAGACAUAUGUCAAUGGGAAGGAACCUAUGAGCAGUUUUGGAAAAUUUUGAAAUCUCCCAGAGACUGAAGUUUUAGAAUGAAAAUAUCUAAGUGAGACUUAUUUUAAAUAAGAACUAUUUAUCUAAGUCUCAAAGGGGGGAAUUGUUGGAGAUAGGCGAGAAACAAAAACAAAGGAUGCUACUUAGUUAACGAGGCGUGACCUUGAGAAGAGAAACAA